rnacentral:rRNA from 1 species
CACGUAGGGCGCAAGCGUUGUCCGGAAUCAUUGGGCGUAAAGAGCGUGUAGGCGGUCCGGUCAGUCGGUUGUGAAAGUCAAGGGCUCAACCCUUGAAUGCCGGCCGAUACUGCCGGGCUAGAGUCCGGAAGAGGUGAGUGGAAUUCCUGGUGUAGCGGUGAAAUGCGCAGAUAUCAGGAGGAACACCGAUGGCGAAGGCAGCUCACUGGGACGGUACUGACGCUGAGACGCGAAAGCGUGGGGAGCAAACAGG